CUCCUGAAUAAUCACUCAGUAAUGGCAGUAACAAAAUAUCUUGCACAAAGUGACUAUUCGUCAGCUCUACUGUUGGAAUUUUGUCACUGCUCACUGAGAUUUGAAAAAUUAAUUAGAUGUUGAAUCAUCUGUAAAGAGAUCAUGGAGCAAUCUGUUUGAAAAAAUAAAAUAAACAAACGCCAAGAUGCUGUGGAUGUCCAUGCUCCGCACGCAGCCAUUAAAUUCCAGCGCCUAGAAGCAAUUGCCGGAAAACAAUUUAGUAUUCCCUCAGAUUUGAUUAAGCAUCUCAAUUUGCAUGAUGUGCAAGGACUAAUAAUAAAUACUGUGUGAGUUAGGUAAAUGUAAAAAUGAGAUCCAACCCCUUGUGUUUUCAAAACAUAAUUUAAUUUAUUUUGUGCAGGGCCUGAUUUAUGUUCUAUCCUAUCAGUUAGCCUUACUGGGCCAUGAUGUUCGACUUUAUUGGCUAAAAUGAUGUGUGAUGAUAAUUAAUGAGUGCAAUAACAAGCCAUCUUUAA